AACGCGAAGAACCUUACCUACUCUUGACAUCCAGAGAAUUUAGCAGAGAUGCUUUAGUGCCUUCGGGAACUCUGAGACAGGUGCUGCAUGGCUGUCGUCAGCUCGUGUUGUGAAAUGUUGGGUUAAGUCCCGCAACGAGCGCAACCCUUAUCCUUUGUUGCCAGCACGUAAUGGUGGGAACUCAAAGGAGACUGCCGGUGAUAAACCGGAGGAAGGUGGGGAUGACGUCAAGUCAUCAUGGCCCUUACGAGUAGGGCUACACACGUGCUACAAUGGCAUAUACAAAGAGAAGCGAACUCGCGAGAGCAAGCGGACCUCAUAAAGUAUGUCGUAGUCCGGAUUGGAGUCUGCAACUCGACUCCAUGAAGUCGGAAUCGCUAGUAAUCGUAGAUCAGAAUGCUACGGUGAAUACGUUCCCGGGCCUUGUACACACCGCGUGUCU
rnacentral:rRNA from 1 species